CGAACGGCUGAGUAACACGUGGGCAACCUGCCCUUUGCACUGGGAUAGCCUCGGGAAACCGAGGUUAAUACCGGAUACUCCAUAUUUGUCGCAUGGCGAAUAUGGGAAAGCUCCGGCGGCAAAGGAUGGGCCCGCGGCCUGUUAGCUAGUUGGUGGGGUAGUGGCCUACCAAGGCAAUGAUGGGUAGCCGGGUUGAGAGACCGACCGGCCAGAUUGGGACUGAGACACGGCCCAGACUCCUACGGGAGGCAGCAGCA
rnacentral:rRNA from 1 species